rnacentral:misc_RNA from 1 species
UCCAACUUGUCGCUGGCGGUCUCCUGCGAGUGCGGCUCCGAAGAGCUGGGCAACACAGGACGAGGGUUGCGCUCGUUGAAGGACUUAACCUAACAUCUCACGACACGAGCUGACGACAGCCAUGCAGCACCUGUCACUGAGCUCCCGAAGGCACCCCCGUAUCUCUACAGGGUUCUCAGGAUGUCAAGAGUAGGUAAGGUUCUUCGCGUUGCGUCGAAUUAAACCACAUGCUCCACCGCUUGUGCGGGCCCCCGUCAAUUCAUUUGAGUUUUAACCUUGCGGCCGUACUCCCCAGGCGGUCUACUUAGUGCGUUAGCUGCGCCACCAAAACCUCAAGGGUCCCGACGGCUAGUAGACAUCGUUUACGGCGUGGACUAC